UAUCAAAACACUCAUGAUAUUUGGACUUCCCUUCAGAUGGAAACCUGAGUUGUGACUGAUCAAUAAGCCCUUAUAAUGGGGUUUUCCUGUUUGAUUUUCUACCUACUGGAUUAUUGCAGUGAUUCUAGGGAUCCUCUUCUUGGUAUUGCUGGGAAUAACAGGGCAUUUUAUUACCAAAGGCUGUCCAUGUCCAUGCUGCCCUGAGCAGUGAGUGACCUACAGAGGCAGUUGUUACUCCUCCAAGGAGAAGGACUGGAAUUCCAGCCAGGAAUCCUGCCGGGCAGAGAGAGCUCAUCUCCUGGUGAUCAGCAAUACCAGUGAAAUGGUGGGUGCCUUUGCAGAGGCAGGGGCAGGAUGAAGUGGGAGCAAGUCCCUGGCACUGUUAUGGUAGUUCCUUCCCUCUGGGAGGAAGGGAGAGCAUAAAAGGCUCCUGGGACCCACCCACCACCACCCUGCACUGGCAAAGACAAGGCCUUCCCUUAGACAGUUUGCAAGAGGGACUUGCUUCUUUCUACCUGACUCAGCUGAGUUUUGUUUGUCAUGAGUUCAGCCUUCAUAACCCACAGCUGGGGAAGCUGCCUGGCACUCUGAAAUGCUGAGUCUCACAAAAGCAGGUCUCUGAAGGAAGGAAGGGAAUAGGUGUUCACAUUCACAAAUGGCCCCAAAAUUUCCUCUCUCACACACUGCUUCUUUCUCUACCCUUCAAGACCCAGGACUUGACUGGGUUUCUUUGAGUCUACUGAUCUCUCUGCCUUUCCAUCCCUCCUAGGACUUCUUCCAGAUACUACACAGCAAAUCCCACUGGAUUGGUUUGCAGAGGAACACUGAUGGGAACUGGGCCUGGGAAGACGGCUCAAAACUGAGCAGUGAAAAUCGAGUAUGGUGUUUCCUUUGUACUUUUAGAUAAAAUGCUUGAGAUCCUUCCCCUCUCUGACAUGAAAAUUGGGCAGAAGUCAACCAGCAACGGACACACUGCUAAGGGAUGUUCAGAGCAGUCAUGGGCUCUAGCAGCUAAGGGCUUCUUCCUGCCCAGCUACCAGGGCCCAGCUGGGUGCCUGGGAGUCUUUAUCCCAGGCUAAUGGACACAGCUGCUACAUUCCUGCCAGUAGGUCCCACCUGUUUUGUGUCCCGGGACAAAUAUGGAUACAGGCACACAUGCAAGCAAAACUGUGACAGUGAUUGUGCCUGUAAUCAUUAGCUGCUCCCAGAGAAUCAGACCCAUUCCUUGCUUUACCUCAUCCCCUCUCUUUCCUCCUUGUCCCCUUAACGUUCCUCAACAAGUUUUGCACAGGCACACAGGCCCACCUUGAAUGUACUCAAAUCCUCCAGUUCCACUUUCACCUCACCUUUUAUCUGUUACAAAGCCCAAGGUGCCUCUGUCCAAAGCUGUGACUGGAGGUUUUUUAUGGCCCAUUGAUUAGUAGCUGAAGACUUUUGGUCUUUGCAGUUUUGUCUUUUAUUUCUUGAAUGUUUGUGUCUGUGGAUUUCUGUUUCAUCAUUUUGUCCUCAUUAUGAUCUUUUGCACUGAACGAGUCCUUGAUUGGAUAACCUUAAUGAAGCAGAGGCUUCCACCUUUCACAUACCCAUACAGAUGAUUUUAACUGGAUACUUCAGCUGGGAUACUUUAUACUUUCUGUCCCAAAUGCCUUUAGUAAAACAGAAAAAAAUCCCUUGUGCAACAGAACAUUUUGCUCUUUAGUGAUGGGAAAUGGAGAGCCCAGUGUGAGACUGGCAAACUGCAAGUCUCACAUUGAGCUCCAGGUAUUAUAAGUGCCACUUCCGGACCACCUGUAUCCCAGGAUGGAUCCUCCCUGCCAUCAGUUCAUGAAGUCUGACCUGCAGCUGGUCCCUUCGCUCUAAAGGUGUGAGAUGUUCUUCCCUUUGCCAAAGUGGGGACCCCUCUCUAAUGUCACCCUGCUUGUGUGCUCUGUCUCCCACACGGUCGAGUCCACCAGCCCUGAACAGAACUGCGCUGUUCUGCUGAAUGGUGCCAACUAUGCUUCCAGCUGUCAAGUCCCUGCCCCAUGGAUCUGUGAGAAAUCUGCUCAGUGACCUCUGUGGACCUUGUCUUAGGAAGCAUUCUUUGGAGAGCUGUGCUAAGGCCUGAUUCCUGUGAAGUUUCUCCGAGAGCAGCUGUGCUCCUUGCUCCUGUGCCACCUACUACUCCUCAAGGAAUGAAUGCAGCUGCCACAGGAGCUCUGAGUGCUGCUCCUGUCUCCAUUCAGGACCACUCUGGUGAUGUUCACACUCAUAGCCCUCACCUAGUGACAGACAGUCAUCAGAGUGGUAGAGAAGGGAUAGGAGAGAUUUCUCUGAGUCAGUCAUUUUCAGAGGUACUUGAGCACUGUCACUGCUGUUUUGAAAUCCUAGGGAGAGGUGAGCUUGUAAUCUGUGAGCUCUGAGUUUAUUUACCUCUUUUGUGACACUGGUGACAUGCACCAAGGAUGAAAGCUAGCCUGAAGUUUGAAGUUGGUCUGUUUUUGCAAGUGAUAUCGAUUAUGUCCACUGGACCUUUCUAACCUAAAUUCUUCUGUGGUUUAUGUUUGUAUCUGGAGAAAACUGGAGUACGGCCUCUAGUGUCACAUUGCUGUGUAAAUAGCUGUGAAGGAGUGAACCUACUGCCUUGCUGAGCUGAAAAUAAAUGUGAAUUGCUUCUAACAAUUUCUUCAGUAGUGACUUUUUCUGUUUUCCUCCCCAAUAUUAUUGGAUAGUGCAUUAAUUGAUUUAUAAAAAGGCAAAAGGAAGCUGGUGGCAGGAACAGACUCAGAAGAGCAGGGGUUGAAAUACUUCACAGUAACACUGCAGCAGAAAAUUACAACCACAGCCAUGGAACUGUAUCCUACCCCAAGGGAUUAAGGACUGACAAAUUUACUUUUUUUCUGUAGCCAAAUGAGUGAAGCCCUUCAUCUUCCAGUCCCUUUGUCCUAAGGCCUGCCUUGGCCAUGGCUCAAGUGCCCUGCAUCACCCCUGAGUGGUCUGUUUGGCCCCUGCUCAGAGUUUCCUCCAGAACAGCUCUCUCCUUAAAGAAUUCCUGCCAGACCCCUCAUCCAGCACUUCUUCCCAUGGGAUGCAGCAGACAGAUAAAUAUAGUUCCAAUUUUUGUGACAAGUAGGCCACAAUCACACAAUGUCCUGUGCUGUGCAGCAACACCUUGACUGCAUGACAGGACAACUGUGAUGACUUUUUAAGGACAAACUAUUGGUAUUUUAGUGGUAUCUUAUGACAGUAUUUCUUAAAAUACUAAUAAUUAUGUUGUUAGGUUCAUUGCCCUAAGCAGUCACAAAAUAAGUUAUUAGAAUUAGAUUAAGAAGUAUGUUUGUUUACAGAAAUAAAGCUGGUUUUUUACCAAUAAAAUUGAGAUGCUAGUGUAACACCCAGGAGAUGUGAGAUGACAAAAAUGUUGUUGCCUAAUGACUAUUUCUGAAAUAAAUAAAUAAAAUAAAAUAAAUAAAUAAAAUAGCACCCCUUUGGUGUUAAAAAACAUAUAAGGUUAAUUAAAGUUAUGCAAUAGUAGCUUAGUAUUAUCCUGCAUUCUUUAAGUAAUCUUAAAGAAUGUUUAAUUCUCAUCAUACCUUAGUUAUUUUUAAAUUGUUACCUGUUUAGAAUCUAUUUGAAAAGUUACUUGUUUGUGUUCAGUAGUUUCCUAUAAGAGCUAUUCACUUUGAAUCACAAAACCCAACACAGCAUGUGAGAAGACCAGGAGAGGUGCUCCAAAUAUUUCUUGCUAGAAGAAUGUAAAGCAAACCAGGAAGGAUCCUUUGCUUUUUAAUUCCUCUCACCUGGGGUGUUGUUUCAGCCUCUGAGGAGCACUCUCCUGUUUAGUAUGAAUGAUUACUCCUCAUGAAUAUACACGUCUUUUCUCCGCACAUGGAAUUUUUGUCCUGUUCUCCCUAUAGAGUCUGAGGCAUGAAAAAAAUAGUAAUGUGUUACUUCAGCUAGUUUGUGACUUUUCCAUAAUCAACUAUUAGAUUUCUAAACUAUACUUACAGUACUGGAGAUGUGGAAAAUUAUUUGGGCUAUGGAAUGAAAACAGCUGUGUACACAUUUUAAGAAAAAAAAUAAAUAUUAUAGCACAGCUUUCUUUUAAAGGCAAUGUUCACUGCUGAACUGCUCAUCAGAAAAACAGAGAGAGAAUGUUAAAUAUAUCUGCCUUGUUUUUUGUCUUGGUGAAAACCCUGUUAGCUGUCUGUUCUAUACUGCCUUCAGGGAGUUAAAUGACUAAGAUUUUUCUUACGGUAUUUUAUACAAUUUGAAAGAAGUUCUGCUGUGUACGCAGUGUCAGAAAAAAUAAACUGGAGAAAGAAACAAGUUUAGAUAAACAGUGCUUUUUAACUAAUUUGUAUCUCUAGUUUAUUCUGUUUAGUAAUAUUAAUCACAGAGGAAGAAGGGAAUUUUUCACUGUGAUCUGACUUCUUUUGUAUUGCCAGCAUUUUGGGUAUUAGAGGGGUGAAAUAUCCAUUAAUUCCACUAUUGUGGUUUGGGGUGGAACUUUCAGCUGAUUUUCAGCUGAGAACUUUUAAGAAUAGGUACAAUUUUAUGCAGCUAUUUUGCAAAGCAGAAGAAAUCAUGUGUGUAAAAAAAACCCCUGUCUUAUCAACUUCCUACUGGAGCAGAUGCUGCCAUAUCUGGCAACUCUUAGCACUUUGAACCAUUAAAAUGUGCUUUGCAACAGUAAUUAUCUAGCAGCAAGUAAGUAAUAUGCUUGAAAUAAACUUCCAAUUAAAUGAAAUGUUUCUGCAGAUGUGCAUUUUGACAUUUUCAAUUAAUUUAAAUGCCUUCUAAAUUUUUCUUUCAUUACUUCCACACUGGAAUCUUGUCAGUUGACAUCAAAUAAAGCAAGUAGGUGAGUCAGACCUGCUAAUUAAUUUCGGUGUUCUGCUUGUUGUUUGUUUUUUCUUUCAAAUUCCCAAGUAUUUUGAUGAAAUGCAUUUGAUUAGUGCUACAUUCUCCAGGGAAAAAAUAAAUGCUUAAAGGAAACCUGAUAUUAUCAAAUUACUUGCUUUGAUGCCAGAGAAGGCGAGAAAUUUUAAGCUGGUGUUUACAGACUAGACAAGAUGUUACUGUGCAACUCUACCAAUCUCAGUGCCAGGAAUGCAGUCUAGAGCAGAAUCUUGUCUCAGAUUUUAGAUGCAGAGCAUGCUCUAAUAAAACCCAAACUGAAGAUUUUCUGUAAUGCCAGUGAAAGCAAAAACAAGCAGCUAAUAUUUUUCUCCUAGUGUAAACUCUUAAGGAACCUUUGAUGCUCUUUCCUAACCUUUAAAGGUUCUUGAUAUUUCUUGCUCCAGAGUGUGUUAGUUACUUUGUCCUAGUUAUCCAGCUGGAAGGAUAUGGUUAUUCUCCUUUACACUGUAAAUACUUUCACAGUAUUGACAGGAUUGACAAAUUUUUGUCUAAAUUUCAUAGCAGUGAAUCUUACUUGAUGUUGUGGUCUUGGGUUCUGCACUAGCAUUAUUGAUCGUGUCCCAUCUGAUGAGUUUUUGAUCUCUGUUCCACACUUUGGAGAUUCACAGCUCCUACAUCCCACCAGGAAGACAAAUUAGUAUCUUACGUAAGCAGUGAUUAUUUGAGUCCUUGCACUAAGACAUGAGUUCUUAAUAGAAAAAGCUUAUGAUAGUUGUUGAAAGUGAAAAACCAGAAAAACUGGGGCUUUUCUGUCUCACACUAGGUUAGACUAGUUCAACCCAUCCCUUUUUCUGUACUUUUUAGCAGGCAGUACAAAACUGCACAGAAAACACACUAUCCCCAAAUUGUAACCACCGCUCUUUCCUGUCCUAGUUUAGGGAAAAUCUGGGAGAAAAACUCCAA